UGGCGGACGGGUGAGUAAUGUCUGGGAAACUGCCUGAUGGAGGGGGAUAACUACUGGAAACGGUAGCUAAUACCGCAUAACGCCGCAAGACCAAAGAGGGGGACCUUCGGGCCUCUUGCCAUCGGAUGUGCCCAGAUGGGAUUAGCUAGUAGGUGGGGUAACGGCUCACCUAGGCGACGAUCCCUAGCUGGUCUGAGAGGAUGACCAGCCACACUGGAACUGAGACACGGUCCAGACUCCUACGGGAGGCAGCAUG
rnacentral:rRNA from 1 species